GAUGAACGCUAGCUACAGGCUUAACACAUGCAAGUCGAGGGACCGGCGCGCGGGUGAAUAGCACGUAUCCAACCUGCCCUUAACUCGAGGAUAGCCUUUCGAAAGAAAGAUUAAUACCCAAUGUAAAGGAUGGGGAUGCGUUCCAUUAGGUUGUUGGUGAGGUACCGGCUAACCAAGCCUUCGAUGGAUAGGGGUUGGGAGAGGAAGGGCCCCCAGAUUGGAACUGAGACACGGUCCAAACUCCUAGGGGAGGCAGCAGUGAGGAAUAUUGGGCAAUGGGCGGUAGCCUGAACCAGCCAAGUAGCGUGAAGGAUGAAGGGUUAUGGGUCGUAAAUGUCUGUUAUAGAAGAAUAUGUAUUAGAUGAAUAAGGAUCGGCUAACUCCGUGCCAGCAGCCGCGGUAAUAC
rnacentral:rRNA from 1 species